rnacentral:rRNA from 1 species
AUUGAACGCUGGCGGAAUGCUUUACACAUGCAAGUCGAACGGCAGCACGGGGGCAACCCUGGUGGCGAGUGGCGAACGGGUGAGUAAUACAUCGGAACGUGCCCAGUCGUGGGGGAUGACGUAGCGAAAGUUACGCUAAUACCGCAUACGAUCUACGGAUGAAAGCGGGGGACCGUAAGGCCUCGCGCGAUUGGAGCGGCCGAUGUCAGAUUAGGUAGUUGGUGAGGUAAAGGCUCACCAAGCCGACGAUCUGUAGCUGGUCUGAGAGGACGACCAGCCACACUGGGACUGAGACACGGCCCAGACUCCUACGGGAGGCGGCAGUGGGGAAUUUUGGACAAUGGGCGCAAGCCUGAUCCAGCCAUUCCGCGUGCAGGACGAAGGCCUUCGGGUUGUAAACUGCUUUUGUACGGAACGAAAAGGCUCUGGUUAAUACCUGGGGCUCGUGACGGUACCGUAAGAAUAAGCACCGGCUAACUACGUGCCAGCAGCCGCCGAA